rnacentral:lncRNA from 1 species
GACUUCCAGCUGGAGCAGCCCAGCCUGCCCGCGCAUUCGCUUGCUCGCGCUAGGUUUAAGAGCGCGGGGGUGGGUUUCUUUUUUUCUUUCUUUCUCUCUCUUUUUUUUCAGUCUCCUGCGGGUUCCCCUGCCGGGAAAUGCAUUCGCUCUAGUUUUCUAGGGCUCUGGUCCCAGUUCCUUCUGAAGCGCGUUUGCAGACUCCUUUCCUCGGUCGCGGUCUCGCUGGGCUCUGUGUUUUGCCGGGCAACAGCCCAUGCUAGGCUCGGCAGACCUACUGGCGAUCAGGGUUCAGCCCUUGCAGCGCUGACACCUGCAGAGUCGAGGUUCCUGCCAAAAAGCGUAAAGCAAAGGAGGAAAAAUUCACUGUCAUAAUACCGAAAAUGAUAAACCUCAGCUGUCUUUCAGAAGAAUGUCUGACUGCAUUUUUGGAAGCCCACAACUGAGGACUAAGUGAAACCCUCCCAUGGAUAGCAUAAAUCAGCGUUUUUGAAGCUGCUCAUCUGCAGGAUCAAUGAGCCCAGAAGAUGCAAACUCCCUUCUCAGCUCUUGCAAAAAUACCUCCAGUAAAAACAAGCACUUUGGCUCUUUUCUACUUUCUGUUAGUCCAGAUUUUAGCAUAUCCUUCUUUGCUUUUUAAUUUAUUGUUUAUAUAUUUGGUCCCAUCCUCAAACAGAUUUUAAACCCUUUGAAGGCAGAGAAUGGCUUUCCUAAACUUUUAAUCUCCUGGUUCAGCUGAACAGUU